rnacentral:rRNA from 1 species
CCUACGGGAGGCAGCAGUGAGGAAUAUUGGUCAAUGGACGUAAGGCUGAACCAGCCAAGCAGCGUGAGGGAAGACUGCUCUAUGGGUUGUAAACCUCUUUUAUGCGGGGAUAAAGGCGUCCACGCGUGGAUGUUUGCAGGUACCGCAUGAAUAAGGACCGGCUAAUUCCGUGCCAGCAGCCGUGGUAAUACGGAAGAUCCGGGCGUUAUCCGGAUUUAUUGGGUUUAAAGGGAGCGUAGGCCGGUCUUUAAGCGUGCGGUGAAAUUUUGUGGCUCAACUAUGGGAGUGCGGCGCGAACUGGUGGCCUUGAGUGUGCGGAAGGCAGGCGGAAUGCAUGGUGUAGCGGUGAAAUGCUUAGAGAUCACAAAGAACACCGAUUGCGAAGGCAGCUUGCCGCGGCAUUACUGACGCUGAAGCUCGAAAGCGCGGGUAUCGAACAGGAUUAGAUACCCUUGUAGUC